UACGUAGGAGACGAGCGUUGUCCGGAGUUACUGGGCGUAAAGCGUGCGCAGGCGGUCUGUUAAGACCGAUGUGAAAUCCCCGGGCUUAACCUGGGAACUGCAUUGGUGACUGGCAGGCUUUGAGUGUGGCAGAGGGAGGUAGAAUUCCACGUGUAGCAGUGAAAUGCGUAGAGAUGUGGAGGAAUACCGAUGGCGAAGGCAGCCUCCUGGGCCAAGAUUGACGCUCAUGCACGAAAGCGUGGGGAGCAAACAGG
rnacentral:rRNA from 1 species